CUAGUGUACUACUGAAAGCUGAUUGAUUUGUUGUUAAACUGAAAGCUUAACUUUCUUGUCACAAAUCAUCCCUUGCAGUUGGCCAUGAAAUCUGACCAAUUGCUAGCUACUCACACGCGUACUUACAACGACUAGUUUCCAGUGAGGAAGCACUCACUACAGUUGCUUGGGUUUGGGAUAUGCAGGUCAGGCUCGUGGGGUUGGUGAGUGACAAGGCGGGGAGGAACACGGAUCUGUCUCCCGCAUCGACUUCAUCAGACGGGAUGAUUUUUCGUGAUGAUGGGGAUCCAUUCUUCUUCCAUGUUGACGCCUCCGGUCCUGCCACGAUUCGUCUUGUCGUCCUCCCCGGCAUUCGCAUAGGUCAGGCUCGUGGGGUUGGUGAGUGACAAGGCGGGGAGGAACACGGAUCUGUCUCCCGCAUCGACUUCAUCAGACGGUGAGUUAAUUU